CUGUUUACCUGGCAGGGGAGACACAUGAUAACGAAGGUGGCCUUCCCAGGGCAAGGCUUCUCCAUUGCACUCCAGAUGUGCUGACCCCUGCCAUUUCCCCAAACUGGGAAACUAGACUGCAUAAUUUGUGCUAGUGGGGGCCUACAUUCAGGCUCUUCCCUA